UUGCAGUUAAAGCUCGUAGUUGGAUUUCGGAAGGUCCUUAGUAAUCCGCCCCUUCGGGGAGCGGGUUACUGGCCUCCUAUGUUCCUAACGGUCCUCAUCCGCGAGGGUGGGGAAUCAACCGCUAGGAUCGUUUACUUUGAGGAAAUUAGAGUGUUCAAAGCAGGCGUAACUCGCCUCCGAAUACGUUAGCAUGGGAUAAUGGAAUACGACUUCGGUCUUGUUUCGUUGGUUUCGCUUGGCUGAAGUAAUGAUUGAUAGGGACAGUUGGGGGCAUUAGUAUUUAGUUGUCAGAGGUGAAAUUCUAGGAUUUACUAAAGACUGACCAAUGCGAAAGCAUUUGCCAAGGAUGUUUUCAUUAAUCAAGAACGAAAGUAGGGGGAUCGAAGACGAUCAGAUACCGUCGUAGUCUCUACCGUAAACUAUGCCGACCAGGGAUCCGGAGAGUUUGCAUGGAUGACUCCCCGGGCACCUUGUGAGAAAUCAUAAGUGUUUGGGUUUUGGGGGGAGUAUGGUCGCAAGGCUGAAACUUAAAGGAAUUGACGGAAGGGCACCACCAGGAGUGGAACCUGCGGCUUAAUUUGAUCCA
rnacentral:rRNA from 1 species